GUUAAACCUGUCAUGGAAGAUCUCCUUCAUUAAGUUCAGAUGAGAAAAAGAACUGUGAGGGAUUAACUAAUAUGUUCAAGAACAUUUAAAAGCCUGGUCAGCUACAGCAGCUGGCAAAACCGUCUGCUGGACUUCACUGCAUCAGUCAUGCUUCUAUCACUGUUCAGGGUCUCGGAGCUGGACUCUAAUGUUUCAACCAACAAGUUGGGCCUUCCAUGUUUGAAUUAGGAACCAGAGGGGCCUUUUCCCUGAAUAUGCAGAUCUGUCUGUGAUGCCAUUUUAACUGGAUGUCUACGCUGAGAAGAGACUCUGCCAAGUGGUGGUAUUCAAAGAGGAUUAAUGCCAAGGCCAGAAGAUGGCAAGGAAGGCUGUUCUUUGGGAAUCAAGGAUGAUUGAAAUAGCUGAUGAAGCCAAUGCAUUGAUCUGCAGACUCUUUCACAGAUGAGGCAGAAGAUACCUGAUGUAACAGGCAGAUGAUCCUCGGUGAUGGUCUUGUCCGUUAUACCUCUAAAUGGACGGAAUCCACAUUGUAAUUCAGAAAGCAGCCCUUUGGCCACUGGGAUGAGGUGAUUAAGAAGGACCUGGUAAUGACUCUCCCUGUGGCACACAGCAGGGAGACCCUUGCAAAGUUACCACAGUUGAAUGUGUCUCCA